rnacentral:rRNA from 1 species
GUGCUAAUCUGCGAUAAGCGUCGGUAAGGUGAUAUGAACCGUUAUAACCGGCGAUUUCCGAAUGGGGAAACCCAGUGUGUUUCGACACACUAUCAUUAACUGAAUCCAUAGGUUAAUGAGGCGAACCGGGGGAACUGAAACAUCUAAGUACCCCGAGGAAAAGAAAUCAACCGAGAUUCCCCCAGUAGCGGCGAGCGAACGGGGAGCAGCCCAGAGUCUGAAUCAGUGUGUGUGUUAGUGGAAGCGUCUGGAAAGGCGCGCGAUACAGGGUGACAGCCCCGUACACAAAAAUGCACAUAUUGUGAGCUCGAUGAGUAGGGCGGGACACGUGGUAUCCUGUCUGAAUAUGGGGGGACCAUCCUCCAAGGCUAAAUACUCCUGACUGACCGAUAGUGAACCAGUACCGUGAGGGAAAGGCGAAAAGAACCCCGGCGAGGGGAGUGAAAAAGAACCUGAAACCGUGUACGUACAAGCAGUGGGAGCACGCUUAGGCGUGUGACUGCGUACCUUUUGUAUAAUGGGUCAGCGACUUAUAUUCUGUAGCAAGGUUAACCGAAUAGGGGAGCCGAAGGGAAACCGAGUCUUAACUGGGCGUUAAGUUGCAGGGUAUAGACCCGAAACCCGGUGAUCUAGCCAUGGGCAGGUUGAAGGUUGGGUAACACUAACUGGAGGACCGAACCGACUAAUGUUGAAAAAUUAGCGGAUGACUUGUGGCUGGGGGUGAAAGGCCAAUCA